GCAGUCGAACGGAGAAUAUCGAAGCUUGCUUUGAUAUUCUUAGUGGCGGACGCCUUAAAAACCGUGAGUAACCUGCCUCUGAGAGUGGGAUAGCCUUUGGAAACGGAUGGUAAUACCGCAUGAAAUCAUAGUAUCGCAUGGUACAAUGAUCAAAGAUUUAUCGCUCAGAGAUGGACUCGCGUCUGAUUAGCUAGUUGGUAAGGUAACGGCUUACCAAGGCGACGAUCAGUAGCCGGACUGAGAGGUUGAUCGGCCACAUUGGGACUGAGACACGGCCCAGACUCCUACGGGAGGCAGCAGUGGGGAAUAUUGCACAAUGGGGGAAACCCUGAUGCAGCGAUGCCGCGUGGAGGAAGAAGGUUUUCGGAUUGUAAACUCCUGUUGAAGAGGACGAUAAUGACGGUACUCUUUUAGAAAGCCCCGGCUAACUACGUGCCAGCAGCCGCGGUAAUACGUAGGGAGCAAGCGUUGUCCGGAUUUACUGGGUGUAAAGGGUGCGUAGGCGGAUUGGCAAGUCAGAAGUGAAAUCCAUGGGCUUAACCCAUGAACUGCUUUUGAAACUGUUAGUCUUGAGUGAAGUAGAGGUAGGCGGAAUUCCCGGUGUAGCGGUGAAAUGCGUAGAGAUCGGGAGGAACACCAGUGGCGAAGGCGGCCUACUGGGCUUUAACUGACGCUGAGGCACGAAAGUGUGGGUAGCAAACAGGAUUAGAUACCC
rnacentral:rRNA from 1 species